rnacentral:rRNA from 1 species
UACGUAGGCAGCAAGCGUUGUUCGGAAUUACUGGGCGUAAAGAGUGUGUAGGCGGUGCUCUAAGUCUGUUGUGAAAUCUCCCGGCUUAACCGGGAGGGUGCGGCGGAAACUGGAGUGCUUGAGGGUGGGAGAGGUAAGCGGAAUUCCUGGUGUAGCGGUGAAAUGCGUAGAUAUCUGGAGGAACACCGGUGGCGAAGGCGGCAUCCUGGACCGGCAUUGACGCUGAGGCGCGAAAGCCAGGGGAGCAAACGGG